UGCCAGCAGCCGCGGUAAUACGGAGGGUGCAAGCGUUGUUCGGAAUUACUGGGCGUAAAGCGCGUGUAGGCGGCUAGGUAAGUCGAAUGUGAAAUCCCGGGGCUCAACCCCGGGACUGCAUCCGAAACUACUUAGCUAGAGUCUCGGAGAGGAAGGCAGAAUUCCCGGUGUAGGGGUGAAAUCCGUAGAUAUCGGGAGGAAUACCAGUGGCGAAGGCGGCCUUCUGGACCAAUACUGACGCUGAGGUGCGAAAGCGUGGGGAGCGAACAGGAUUAGAUA
rnacentral:rRNA from 1 species